AUUACUUUGGCAGAAUAUAAUGCAUUAAAUUUAGAAUUUAAUUAUGUAAUUAAUAUUACAUGUAAUU
rnacentral:tRNA from 1 species